GGGACAACAUCUCUUUAAAAACAGGAUGGAAACCACAGUUAAAAUGAAACUCGAAAGUCAGGAAAGCUCUUUGAAAGCUCUGUCCUUCACCUGCAGCCCUUCCAGGUCAGCUCCCCUACCUCCACACAUCUCUGGUUCCAAAAGAGGACAGGACUGAGGGUCUCAGAAGCAACAGACAGAGUCAUGGAUGCAAAUCCCGCCACGGAUGGCAGCCAGGAAUAAAGGCUAUUGUACAGCACCGAGCUGUGUUUCACAGCAAGUCACGAUAAGUAUUUCCUUUCCAAACAUCCAAGUUCCCCAAGCACCGCAAAAGCCAAGAGGAGUUU